AUUUUGGACAAUGGGGGAAACCCUGAUCCAGCCAUACCGCGUGUAUGAUGAAGGCCUUCGGGUUGUAAAGUACGUUUGGCAGAGAAGAAAAGGUAUCUCCUAAUACGAGAUACUGCUGACGGUAUCUGCAGACUCAGCACCGGCUAACUACGUGCCAGCAGCCGCGGUAAUACGUAGGGUGCAAUAGUUAAACGGAAUUACUGGGCGUAAAGAGUGUGUAGGCGGUUCGGAAAGAAAGAUUUGAAAACCCAGGGCUCAAACUUGGAACUGCAUUUUUAACUGCCGAGCUAGAGUAUGUCAGAGGGGGGUAGAAUUCCACGUGUAGCAGUGAAAUGCGUAGAUAUGUGGAGGAAUACCGAUGGCGAAGGCAGCCCCCUGGGAUAAUACUGACGCUCAGACACGAAAGCGUGGGGAGCAAACAG
rnacentral:rRNA from 1 species